rnacentral:misc_RNA from 1 species
AGAGAGAAGAAAGAAAAAGCAAACUUGAGGAAAUCUUUGUAUAUUGAAGGUACAGUUAUGGAUUCCACGUCCUAAAGUAGAGAGAGAUAGAGAGGUCCCCAAUAAGAUAUAUCACAUAGAACAACAAAUAUAUAUAUAUUUUUUACACAAGUAGUCCUACAAUUAAUGACAAGUAAUUAAAUUGAUGAUCAGAAAACAGAAAUAAAUUUUCUACAACUUCUUACAAAAUUACAGAAUAAUUAAAAAAGAUAUUGAGAUAAUUCAGUUCUUGAUCGAGAGACUGCGGAAUUGAGAUUCAUUUCUGAAGGAUGUUGAUGAUGAAGAUAUGGCCUGCAGGCUAAUCAUAGAUAUAUAGAACUAUAUAUACACAUAUAUAUAUGGUUAACUGGCUUGGUGCAAAUUCCUUUGGUAUGGUUAUGGGGUGUCUCUCUAUUGUAAUUUUUUAUGAUGGGAAAGUACAAAAUGGGAAAUUAAAGAUUGACCCCUAAGUUUCUUACCAAAAUGCAAUAUAUGUAAAUAUGAAUAUAAGCAUUUGGACUCCAAAUGCUUAAAAUGGUCUUCUCAUAAAAACUUGGAAGGUCAGCAAAUGCACAAACAUCCAGUACACCAAGCUUUGAUCAUAUUCCUUGUUUGAAGCCUUAGUGGCAGAGGAAGUGAGAGAAAUGGAAGCUGAU